rnacentral:rRNA from 1 species
AGAGUUUGAUCCUGGCUCAGGAUGAACGCUGGCGGUAUGCUUAACACAUGCAAGUCGAACGGUCCUUUCGGGGAUAGUGGCGGACGGGUGAGUAACGCGUGAGAAUCUGCCUUCAGGACGGGGACAACAGCUGGAAACGGCUGCUAAAACCCGAUGUGCCUACGGGUGAAAUAUUUAUAGCCUGAAGAGGAGCUCGCGUCUGAUUAGCUAGUUGGUAGGGUAACGGCUUACCAAGGCGACGAUCAGUAACUGGUCUGAGAGGAUGACCAGUCACACUGGGACUGAGACACGGCCCAGACUCCUACGGGAGGCAGCAGUGGGGAAUUUUCCGCAAUGGGCGCAAGCCUGACGGAGCAAUACCGCGUGAGGGAGGAAGGCUCUUGGGUCGUAAACCUCUUUUAUCAGGGAAGAACACAAUGACGGUACCUGAUGAAUCAGCAUCGGCUAACUCCGUGCCAGCAGCCGCGGUAAUACGGAGGAUGCAAGCGUUAUCCGGAAUUAUUGGGCGUAAAGCGUCCGCAGGUGGUUUUGAAAGUUUGCUGUUAAAGCGCGAGGCUCAACUUCGUAACGGCGGUGAAAACUUCAAGACUAGAGUUUGGUAGGGGUCACGGGAAUUCCCAGUGUAGCGGUGAAAUGCGUAGAUAUUGGGAAGAACACCAGCGGCGAAAGCGCGUGACUGGGCCUGAACUGACACUCAUGGACGAAAGCUAGGGGAGCGAAAGGGAUUAGAUACCCCUGUAGUCCUAG